AGAAAGAGAUGGCGUAGAUCAAAACUUCAGCUCACUCAAGUUGACAAUACCAUCUUUCCAAGGUAAGAGUGAUCCUGAUGCGUACAUUCAAUGGGAAAGAAAGCUUGAGCUCGUAUUCGAUUAUCAUUAUUAUUCCGAGAAGAAGAAGGUGAAGCUCGCCGUCGAAGCGUUUGUUGACUAUGCAAUUACUUGGUGGGAUCAAUUUGUCUUAACUAGGCGCCGCUGUGGCGAACCACCAAUUGAAGAUUGGGAGUCCAUGAAGGCAAUCAUGAGAAGGAGGUUCGUCCCUUCACAAUAUUAUAGGGACUUACGAUUGCAAAGGUUGAGGCAAGCUACUAAGUUAGAAGAACGGAGUUCGCCGAGGUGGGAAUCGCAAAGGAGUUAUCCAGCGAGCAUGGUGAGAGAAUUGUUGCAAAAGCCUAAAAGAGAGAAAUCAAAAACCGAGCAGCA